GAUGAACGCUGACAGAAUGCUUAACACAUGCAAGUCUACUUGAACUUCGGUUUGGGUGGCGGACGGGUGAGUAACGCGUAAAGAACUUGCCUCACAGAUAGGGACAACAUUUGGAAACGAAUGCUAAUACCUGAUAUUAUGAUUUUAGGGCAUCCUAGAAUUAUGAAAGCUAUAUGCACUGUGAGAGAGCUUUGCGUCCCAUUAGCUAGUUGGAGAGGUAACGGCUCACCAAGGCGAUGAUGGGUAGCCGGCCUGAGAGGGUGAUCGGCCACAAGGGGACUGAGACACGGCCCUUACUCCUACGGGAGGCAGCAGUGGGGAAUAUUGGACAAUGGACCAAGAGCCUGAUCCAGCAAUUCUGUGUGCACGAUGAAGUUUUUCGGAAUGUAAAGUGCUUUCAGUUGGGAAGAAAAAAAUGACGGUACCAACAGAAGAAGUGACGGCUAAAUACGUG
rnacentral:rRNA from 1 species